rnacentral:rRNA from 1 species
UACGUAGGGUGCGAGCGUUAAUCGGAAUUACUGGGCGUAAAGCGUGCGCAGGCGGCUUUAUAAGCCAGAUGUGAAAUCCCCGGGCUUAACCUGGGAACUGCAUUUGGAACUGUAAGGCUAGAGUGUAGCAGAGGGGGGUAGAAUUCCACGUGUAGCAGUGAAAUGCGUAGAUAUGUGGAGGAAUACCGAUGGCGAAGGCAGCCCCCUGGGCUAACACUGACGCUCAUGCACGAAAGCGUGGGGAGCAAACAGA